AUACAGAGGGUGCAAGCGUUAAUCGGAAUUACUGGGCGUAAAGCGCGCGUAGGCGGUUUGUUAAGUUGGAUGUGAAAGCCCCGGGCUUAACCUGGGAGGGUCAUUCAAAACUGGCAGACUAGAGUGUGGUAGAGGGUAGUGGAAUUCCUAGUGUAGCGGUGAAAUGCGUAGAGAUUAGGAGGAACACCAGUGGCGAAGGCGACUGCCUGGACCAACACUGACGCUGAGGUGCGAAAGCGUGGGUAGCGAACAGGAUUAGAAACCCGUGUAGUCC
rnacentral:rRNA from 1 species